rnacentral:rRNA from 1 species
GAUGAACGCUGGCGGCGUGCCUAAUACAUGCAAGUCGAGCGAACAGACGAGGAGCUUGCUCCUUUGACGUUAGCGGCGGACGGGUGAGUAACACGUGGGUAACCUACCUAUAAGACUGGGAUAACUUCGGGAAACCGGAGCUAAUACCGGAUAAUAUUUCGAACCGCAUGGUUCGAUAGUGAAAGAUGGCUUUGCUAUCACUUAUAGAUUGACCUUCGCCGUAUUAGCUAGUUGGUAAGGUAACGGCUUACCAAGGCAACGAUACGUAGCCGACCUGAGAGGGUGAUCGGCCACACUGGAACUGAGACACGGUACAGACUCCUACGGGAGGCAGCAGUAGGGAAUCUUCCGCAAUGGGCGAAAGCCUGACGGAGCAACGCCGCGUGAGUGAUGAAGGUCUUCGGAUCGUAAAACUCUGUUAUUAGGGAAGAACAAACGUGUAAGUAACUGUGCACGUCUUGACGGUACCUAAUCAGAAAGCCACGGCUAACUACGUG